UUCCAGCUGCCAGUUCAAACAAGUGCUGCAGACCUGAGCUGAAGAGACGCAGUGCCAGGGAGCAGAGUCAUCAUAGACAGCCCCGCUGCGGCACAGAAAACAUUCCUACAAGAAACUUUGGCUUUUGGACGCAGUUGUUUUGGAAAAAUGCAAAAAAAUCUUUUUGUAGCGGCUUUUUGCCUCUUCGUCGCAGUAAAUCUGUGUGGAGCAGCUACCACCUCAGCACCUACUGAGUCAAGUGUCACAGAGCAAAAUACUGGAUCUACAACUGAUGUACCAACCACAGCCCAAACCAGUGGACCAGGUACCGGCCAAACUGUGGAAUCAACAACCAUCACCACCGAGGCAGCUCCCUCAAACAGUACUGAAGGACCCGAAGCGUCACCAGCAGGGCUUUCAGGAGGGGAGAUAGCCGGCAUCACCAUCGGUACAAUCGCCGGGGUGGGUUUACUGGGCGGCGGGAUCUAUGGCAUCCUGAAGUACACCAACACAAUCUGAGAAGCGCUCUCACCCAACAUGGACUUAAUUGAUCAAACAUAUUAAGCUGCAACCUUUCCCACGGUUUAAUCCUGACUGGGCUCCAUGGACAGUGAGGAGGCGGAUUUGUCUAAAAGGCCCAAUUCUGAAUAAAAAACGCUCAUCAUCAGCGAUGGCAUCGUGGGCCGGGAGGAAGACACAAUAAUCUGUUAUAGUUUGCUGAUUGUAUUAAUUUAAAUCAUAAGGUAAUUUUAAUAACUGUUUUAUUGUAAAAAAAAACAAUUAGACUGUAUAUUGAAUGGUUGUUUUUUUCACAGCUUUUAAUGAGUAGGAUAAAUGUGUUUCUACAUUUUCUUUUGUCGUUUAUGAUAGUAUGUAAAAAACUGAUAUUAUAGUGAUGAAUAACUUAUGAUAUUUGUCUGAGGGACAGACAUUAAUUCACCUCAGAGCAGGAAGUGGUCAGGGGAAUGACAGCCAGUUUUGGCAGACCCCGCCCACUCCCGCUCCUUCAAAUUCAAUAUAAAGGGUUUAGUUUCUUAAGCCAUUAAUAAAAAUGUGACAAAAAACAUUUACAACCAUCUGGGCAGGGCAUCACAGUGCUUAUAUUUUAUAUUUAGAACAUAAAGUUGUUUCUUUUUAUGUUGUAUUAAAUAAAGAAAAUCAGACAAUUAAACAUUAA